UGCCGAAACCCGGAAUCGAACCAGGGACCUUAGAGAUCUUUAGUCUAACGCUCUCCCAACUGAGCUAUUUCGAC
rnacentral:tRNA from 1 species